AGUGAACGCUGGCGGUAGGCCUAACACAUGCAAGUCGAACGGCAGCACAGGAGAGCUUGCUCUCUGGGUGGCGAGUGGCGGACGGGUGAGGAAUACAUCGGAAUCUACUUUUUCGUGGGGGAUAACGUAGGGAAACUUACGCUAAUACCGCAUACGACCUACGGGUGAAAGCAGGGGACCUUCGGGCCUUGCGCGAUUGAAUGAGCCGAUGUCGGAUUAGCUAGUUGGCGGGGUAAAGGCCCACCAAGGCGACGAUCCGUAGCUGGUCUGAGAGGAGGAUCAGCCACAAUGGAACUGAGACACGGUCCAGACUCCUACGGGAGGCAGCAGUGGGGAAUAUUGGACAAUGGGCGCAAGCCUGAUCCAGCCAUACCGCGUGGGUGAAGAAGGCCUUCGGGUUGUAAAGCCCUUUUGUUGGGAAAGAAAUCCAGCUGGCUAAUACCCGGUUGGGGUGACGGUACCCAAAGAAUAAGCACCGGCUAACUUCGUGCCAGCAGCCGCCGUAA
rnacentral:rRNA from 1 species